CAAAGGUAGCAUAAUCAUUAGUUUUUUAAUUGAAAACUGGUAUGAAGGGUUGGACAAAGGAAAAGCUGUCUUUAAAAUAUAAAUUGAAAUUUACUUUUAAGUGAAAAGGCUUAAAUAUUUCGAAGGGACGAUAAGACCCUAUAAAGCUUUAUAUAUUGUUUAAAUUUAAUUAAGUUAAGUAAUAAAGAUUAAAGUUAAAUAUUAUAUUUUGUUGGGGCGAUGUGAGUAUAAUUUAUUUUAACUGCUUAAAAGAAAUACAAUUAUAAGUGAUUUAUAUGAAAAUGAUCCUUUAUAAAGAUUAAAGACUAAGUUACUUUAGGGAUAACAGCGUUAUUUCUUUUGAGAGCCCAUAUCGAAAAAGAAGUUUGCGACCUCGAUGUUGAAUUAAAAUGUCUAUAUAAUGCAGCCGUUAUAAGAGAAGGUCUGUUCGACCUUUAAAAUUUUACAUGAUUUGAGUUCA
rnacentral:rRNA from 1 species